rnacentral:rRNA from 1 species
UACGUAGGGGGCAAGCGUUGUCCGGAUUUAUUGGGCGUAAAGAGCGUGUAGGCGGUUUGGUAGGUCCGUUGUGAAAACUCGAGGCUCAACCUCGAGACGCCGGCGGAAACCAUCAGGCUAGAGUCCGGAAGAGGAGAGCGGAAUUCCGUGGUGUAGCGGUGAAAUGCGCAGAUAUCAGGAAGAACACCCGUGGCUAAGGCGGCUCUCUAGUACGGUACUGACGCUGAGACGCGAAAGCGUGGGGAGCGAACAGG